rnacentral:lncRNA from 10 species
CUUGUCCUUCCCCAGAGGCCCAUGCUCUGGGCCUUUCUUCACGGUGUCUCUUGAAAAUGGCUAUAAAACUUCUUGUCAAAUUGGAGUACUUUGGAAUAUUUAGGAAAAGUUGGCAGAGAGGAGACAGGACUAAAGUGCAGCUCCCACUUGGAUGAACUGAACAGUGUGUGGAGACUCACAUUGUGAAUUUUUGCUCCAAGAACUACCUCAGGAACAUACCAGAAAAACCAAAAGAAUUCACAGACCCUUUGAAAAAAGUGGCUUGCCAGUGCAAACUCCAUGAGACAGCUGAAAAACUGUGCUCUCUGUACACAGAGGGUUUUGUCUGUUUGGUCACCGAUAUAUCUUCAGUGCCCAGAACAGUGCAUGGCAAUGGCAGACUCUCAACUGAUGGUUUAAAGAGGUUGUCUUUUCCAAGGCCCAUCACCUGCUUCACAGAAUUUUCAGCUCUUUUGACAAUUUCCAAGACAAGGGAUGAGUUCCAGCCACCAUGUCAUGAGGAGACCCUGGAUACCCCAGCUCAGAGCCUAGAGCACAUAAGAAGACUACAUUUCCCAGCAUCCCUUGCAAUUGAGCUCACGUGAUUAGCUCUAGCCAAGAGGUGGCAAGCAGAAGAUACUUGAGUCUCUUCCUGGUGAAAUAGAAUGAAAGCACUGAACACAGAUGUGAAGUCUCUGUGCUUUUACUUCCGUCACUGUGGUGAAUUGGCAUCCAUAUGUUGAAAUGACAUCACAAGACAGAAACAAUUAGGGUCACUGAGUCACUGCAAGAAAGAGAGCUGCCCUGGAGAGUCAUCUAGAAUCACAGCAAUCUUCUGUAUAUUCAAGAAACAAAGCUUUGUUUGUACUGAGAUUGGAGGUUGUUAUUGCAGCAGAGUACAGCCUAUCCUAACCAAUACAGAAAAUAUAGUAGGCAAAAUAAGGGCACCCAAAAAAAUGCUCAUUUCCUAAUCUCCAGGACCUGUAAACAAGUUAUAUCAUAUGGCAAAGACAAAUCAAAGUUGCAGAUGGAAUUAAGGUUGCUAAUCAGCUAAUCUGGAGAUGGAGAGAUUGUUCUAGAUUAUCUGAGUAAACCCUAUGUAAUUACAAAGGAUCUUAAAAGCAGAAGAGAGAAUCAAAAGAAUCAGAAAGAUGGCAGUAUGAGUGGGACUUGGCCCAAUGUUGCUGGCUUUGAAGAUGAAGGAAUGAGGCCAUGAGUCAUCGAGUAUGGUAGCCUCUAUAAGCAGGAAAAGGCAAGGAAAUGGUUCUACCCUAGAAUGUUCAGAAAGGAAUGCACCCUACCAACACCAGUCUUUGCCUGGGUAAGGUAUAUGUUCCACUCCUAAGCUAUAGAACUAUAAAUAAUAAAUCUGUGUUGUUUUAAGCCACUAAGUUUGGGAUAAUUUGUUGCAGCACUAAUAGAAGACUAAUACAGAGGCAUUUGUAGACCUCAGGCUCAUUCAAGAAUUCUCAUCUGUUUCCCCAUAAUGCUCUAAAUAUAUUUUAUUAAUGUACUUCCCAUAUCAUAUCUUGAUUAUCUCUGUGUGUAUGUGUCAUUUUCUUCCCUAGAGUGAAAGUUUUCUUGAGGGCAAGAAUUAAGUCUUCUUC